GUAAUUUUCAAAAUAUAUGAACCAAAUAAUUAUUUUUGUUAAAAUACACAAAUUAAAUAGUAAUUUUUCCUAGUUUUAAAUACUUUCACAAGCUGUUUCAAGAAAUUUAGAAUAUCCUCUUAUUGCGUUCUUUCUCCUAAACUCUUGAAAGUAAAUACUAAAAAUACUAAAAUGUUAUGAAGUUAAACACAGGAAAAUACAUCCAAGACCUGCAAUAAUGGUCAACUAAGAAUCAAAAUCGAGUAGUGACUUGGGAAAAGAGAGCCUUGAAAUCUUUGGUUGGAGUGCCAGUUCCCUCUGGC
rnacentral:misc_RNA from 1 species